rnacentral:lncRNA from 1 species
GGGCUACUUCUGGGCAUCCUGUGAGUCAAGAUGCUGAGACAUACAGUUUCACUUAUUUUUGACAUCCUGAAGGCAACUGGAUGUUUCAAGUUCAGAUGAUGAGAAAGGUCUCCAUAAAGGGCCAGCAGCAUGAAGUAGAAACUGAGUGUCUGCACAUGAUACAUACAGCAUCAGGCUGAAGCUGAGACACUGGGAAGGGUGAAAUGGAAGAAAAGAAAGAAGAAAAGAGACCAAGAGGACUGCUGGACACUCGGUGAAAGGGCUCUAUAAUGUGGGAAAGGUGGUACCAGGGAAUGAUUGCACCAAACUCUGGACUCAAGUGCAUUCC